CUGCCGGUAUCUCACAGAGCCGGACUAUAAAAAUAAAGUGUUAUCUAGGUUUCGACCUGCAUCCUUUUAGGAGCGGGAGCGGAGG
rfam:Dialister sp. CAG:588 genomic scaffold, scf81